rnacentral:rRNA from 1 species
GAUGAACGCUGGCGGCGUGCCUAAUACAUGCAAGCCGAGCGAACGGACGAGAAGCUUGCUUCUCUGAUGUUAGCGGCGGACGGGUGAGUAACACGUGGAUAACCUACCUAUAAGACUGGGAUAACUUCGUGAAACCGGAGCUAAUACCGGAUAAUAUUUUGAACCGCAUGGUUCAAAAGUGAAAGACGGUCUUGCUGUCACUUAUAGAUGGAUCCGCGCUGCAUUAGCUAGUUGGUAAGGUAACGGCUUACCAAGGCAACGAUGCAUAGCCGACCUGAGAGGGUGAUCGGCCACACUGGAACUGAGACACGGUCCAGACUCCUACGGGAGGCAGCAGUAGGGAAUCUUCCGCAACGGGCGAAAGCCUGACGGAGCAACGCCGCGUGAGUGAUGAAGGUCUUCGGAUCGUAAAACUCUGUUAUUAGGGAAGAACAUAUGUGUAAGUAACUGUGCACAUCUUGACGGUACCUAAUCAGAAAGCCACGGCUAACUACGUG